rnacentral:rRNA from 1 species
AACGAACGCUGGCGGCAUGCCUAACACAUGCAAGUCGAACGAGACCUUCGGGUCUAGUGGCGCACGGGUGCGUAACGCGUGGGAACCUGCCUUUAGGUUCGGAAUAACUCAGAGAAAUUUGAGCUAAUACCGGAUGAUGUCUUCGGACCAAAGAUUUAUCGCCUUUAGAUGGGCCCGCGUUGGAUUAGCUAGUUGGUGGGGUAAAGGCCUACCAAGGCGACGAUCCAUAGCUGGUCUGAGAGGAUGAUCAGCCACACUGGGACUGAGACACGGCCCAGACUCCUACGGGAAGCAGCAGUGGGGAAUAUUGGACAAUGGGCGGAAGCCUGAUCCAGCAAUGCCGCGUGAGUGAUGAAGGCCUUAGGGUUGUAAAGCUCUUUUACCCGAGAUGAUAAUGACAGUAUCGGGAGAAUAAGCUCCGGCUAACUCCGUG